ACGACGCUGGCGGCGUGCCUAACACAUGCAAGUCGAACGAGAAAGGGAUCUUCGGAUCCUGAGUAGAGUGGCGUACGGGUGAGUAACACGUGGAUAACCUGCCUGAUAAUCUGGGAUAACAUUUCGAAAGGGAUGCUAAUACCGGAUAAGCCCACGAGGACUUCGGUCCUUGCGGGAAAAGAUGGCCUCUUCUUGAAAGCUAUUGUUAUCAGAUGGGUCCGCGGUCCAUUAGCUAGUUGGCGGGGUAAUGGCCCACCAAGGCAACGAUGGAUAGCUGGUCUGAGAGGAUGAUCAGCCACACUGGAACUGAGACACGGUCCAGACUCCUACGGGAGGCAGCAGUGGGGAAUUUUGCGCAAUGGACGAAAGUCUGACGCAGCAACGCCGCGUGAGGGAUGAAGGCCUUUGGGUCGUAAAGCUCUGUCAGAGGGGAAGAACAUCCUGUGGGAUAAUACUCCACAGGCCUGACGGUACCCUCAAAGGAAGCACCGGCUAACUCCGUGCCAGCAGCCGCGGUAAUACAAGCCGAAUCCAACCC
rnacentral:rRNA from 1 species